rnacentral:pre_miRNA from 1 species
GAGAUACCCUUAUGGGGCAGGACUUGCUUCAGUGGGGCUUUGGUGCUCACUGAGUCUGCUGUCUUAAGUGUGUCGCU